CAUGACUGUGUUAAAGAUGUUGUCAAAGAAAUUCUUUUCUAUAUGCAUGACAUCCAGGUUAUGUCUCAGCAAGUUAUCCUUCCAAUACGGAAGAUCCCAAAAAAUGCUUCUCUUGGUCCAAUUAUGCCACUCCCCGAACCCUUCAAUCCUAUUGAUACCACUUUCAUUGACUUUUGGAAAAUGUUUAACUCUUCUCCAAACUUGAGAUGGAUUAAG
rnacentral:lncRNA from 1 species